UACGAAGGGGGCUAGCGUUGUUCGGAAUUACUGGGCGUAAAGCGCGCGUAGGCGGUUUUGCAAGCCAGAGGUGAAAUGCCUGAGCUCAACUCAGGAAUGGCCUUUGGGACUGCGAGGCUUUGAGGACUGGAGAGGUGAGUGGAAUUCCCAGUGUAGAGGUGAAAUUCGUAGAUAUUGGGAAGAACACCGGUGGCGAAGGCGGCUCACUGGCCAGUUUCUGACGCUGCAGCGCGAAAGCGUGGGGAUCAAACAGG
rnacentral:rRNA from 1 species